AUUCAUUCAUUCUUUCAUUCAUUCGUUUAGCAACUAUUUCUUAAGCGCCUUAUUUUGGGAAGCGUUGUGCUUGGCACGAUGAAAUGAUACCAAAGACGCAUGAUGCGCAAGCUACUUUUGAGCACCAGGACUUUGCUGCUGCGGGCCGGUGAAUUCAGAGAAGGCUUUCACGGAGGAGCUGGGAUGAGAGCAGGAUCUUGAAAGAAGCCAAGGGGUCUUGUGAUGGUGUCUCAAAACUUGAGUAGCAGCUGAGGAUAUGAAGGCAAGGAUCUGCCUGGAGAUGUCAGCCCCAAAUGUACUCAGCACAUUAAUUACUCAGUUGAAUUGGAGCAUGGUCUUCCCCAAGGAGAUGGAAAGACAAUGGUCCUGCUGGGUUGAUGGACUGAAGAAAGAACAAGGCUUCACUUUACCUUCCCAGCUUCCUUAUCGGCUUCCCAGGAAUGACGCACAUUCUCUGUCUCAUCCUCCUCAAAAGGAGAAGCCCUUUUUCAUAUAGAAGAAGAAAAAAGAUAAAUUACUGAUUUUUAUUUAACUAUUUCUAUCAAAAUUAAAUAUGCACAUAGUUUAAAGAAUCGAAUGGUUCUACAUUACUAAAUAGCAGCCCCCUGCCCCCACGCCAUUUCUCACUCCUCAGAGGAGAUCACUUCCAAUGCUCUAACUAAUCCUUUUUGUUCUUUUGGAAUCACUGUAUCUCUAAACAGCGACUUCCUAAUUUUAUCUAAUCCCUUUCUACUGUGGAAAAUGGGGAUUUAGCUUUCACCCCUUCCGUUACCACACACAUACAUUUCCUGGGCUUAUAUACCUAUAUCAUUAUUAGAUUAAUACUCAGUGUUUAC
rnacentral:lncRNA from 1 species